UGGGGAAUAUUGCACAAUGGGCGCAAGCCUGAUGCAGCCAUGCCGCUUGUAUGAAGAAGGCCUUCGGGUUGUAAAGUACUUUCAGCGGGGAGGAAGGGAGUAAAGUUAAUACCUUUGCUCAUUGACGUUACCGACAGAAGAAGCACCGGCUAACUCCGUGCCAGCAGCCGCGGUAAUACGGAGGGUGCAAGCGUUAAUCGGAAUUACUGGGCGUAAAGCGCACGCAGGCGGUUGAUUGAGUCAGAUGUGAAAUCCCCGGGCUUAACCCGGGAAUUGCAUCUGAUACUGGUCAGCUAGAGUCUUGUAGAGGGGGGUAGAAUUCCAUGUGUAGCGGUGAAAUGCGUAGAGAUGUGGAGGAAUACCGGUGGCGAAGGCGGCCCCCUGGACAAAGACUGACGCUCAGGUGCGAAAGCGUGGGGAGCAAACAGG
rnacentral:rRNA from 1 species